rnacentral:rRNA from 1 species
GACAGAGGAGGCAAGCGUUUUUCGGAAUUAUUGGGCUUAAAGCGCGUGUCGGCGGCCGCGUAAGUGCUUUGUGAAAGUCCACGGCUCAACCGUGGAAUUGCAGGGCAUACUGCGCGGCUUGGGGUCGGUAGAGGUGGCCGGAACUCUAGGUGGAGCGGUGAAAUGCGUAGAUAUCUAGAGGAACGCCGGAGGCGAAAGAGGGCCACUGGGCCGAUUCUGACGCUGAGACGCGAAGGCGUGGGGAGCAAACAGG